rnacentral:rRNA from 1 species
UACGUAGGGGCAAGCGUUGUCCGGAUUUAUUGGGCGUAAAGAGCGUGUAGGCGGCCUGGAAGGUCAGCUGUGAAACUCGAGGCUCAACCUCGAGACGUCGGUUGAAACCACCUGGCUAGAGUCCGGAAGAGGAGAGUGGAAUUCCCGGGUGUAGCGGUGAAAUGCGCAGAUAUCGGGAAGAACACCCGUGGCGAAGGCGGCUCUCUGGGACGGUACUGACGCUGAGACGCGAAAGCGUGGGGAGCGAACGAG